rnacentral:rRNA from 1 species
GAUGAACGCUGGCGGCGUGCCUAAUACAUGCAAGUCGAGCGAACGGACGAGAAGCUUGCUUCUCUGAUGUUAGCGGCGGACGGGUGAGUAACACGUGGAUAACCUACCUAUAAGACUGGGAUAACUUCGGGAAACCGGAGCUAAUACCGGAUAAUAUUUUGAACCGCAUGGUUCAAAAGUGAAAGACGGUCUUGCUGUCACUUAUAGAUGGAUCCGCGCUGCAUUAGCUAGUUGGUAAGGUAACGGCUUACCAAGGCAACGAUGCAUAGCCGACCUGAGAGGGUGAUCGCCCCCACUGGAACUGAGCCACGGCCCAGACUCCUACGGGAGGCAGAAGUAGGGAAUCUUCCGCAAGGGGCGAAAGCCUGACGGAGCAACGCCGCGGGAGUGAUGAAGGUCUUCGGAUCGUAAAACGCUGUUAUUGGGGAAGAAAAUAUGUGUAAGUAACUGUGCACAUUUUGACGGUACCAAAUCAGAAAGCCACGGCUAACUACGU